rnacentral:rRNA from 1 species
GGAAGGAUCAUUACCGUACUAUGGAGGUGCCAGGGCUGUCGCUGACUCUUAAAGUCGUGCACGCCCGAGCACUCUCACAUACAAUCCAUCUCACCCCUUGUGCACCACCGCGUGGGCCCCUUUCGGCUCGUUCCGAAGGGUGCUCGCGUUUAAACAAAAACUUUAAUGCGGUGUAGAAUGUCAUGCGAUAACACGCAAUCAAUAUAACUUUCAACAACGGAUCUCUUGGCUCUCGCAUCGAUGAAGAACGCAGCGAAAUGCGAUACGUAAUGUGAAUUGCAGAAUUCAGUGAAUCAUCGAAUCUUUGAACGCACCUUGCGCCCCUUGGUAUUCCGAGGGGCACACCCGUUUGAGUGUCGUGACAUCCUCAACCUUUCUCGGUUUCUCGAUCGGGGAAGGCUUGGAAUUUGGAGGUUUUUGCUGGCCUCUCUUGAAGCCAGCUCCUCCCAAAUGAAUUAGUGGGGUCCACUUUGCCUGAAUCCUCGACGUGAUAAGAUGCUUCUACGUCUUGGGUUUUGCUCGGGAACCCGCUUCUAACCGUCUCGUCAGAGAACUCUGUUCGGGCCACCACCUUUUAUGGGUGGGAAGCUCGAGCGCACGAAAACCUUGACCUCAAAUCGGGUGAGACUACCCGCUGAACUUAAGCAUAUCAAUAAGCGGAGGAAAAGAAACUAACAAGGAUUCCCCUAGUAACUGCGAGUGAAGCGGGAAAAGCUCAAAUUUAAAAUCUGGUGGUCUUUGGCCAUCCGAGUUGUAAUUUAGAGAAGCG